CCUACGAGAGGCAGCAGUGAGGAAUAUUGGUCAAUGGGCGCGAGCCUGAACCAGCCAAGUAGCGUGAAGGAUGACUGCCCUACGGGUUGUACACUUCUUUUAUAAAGGAAUAAAGUGAGGCACGUGUGCCUUUUUGUAUGUACUUUAUGAAUAAGGAUCGGCUAACUCCGUGCCAGCAGCCGCGGUAAUACGGAGGAUCCGAGCGUUAUCCGGAUUUAUUGGGUUUAAAGGGAGCGUAGGCGGCCUUUUAAGGCAGCGGUGAAAGUCUGUGGCUCAACCAUAGAAUUGCCGUUGAAACUGGGGGGCUUGAGUAUGUUUGAGGCAGGCGGAAUGCGUGGUGUAGCGGUGAAAUGCUUAGAUAUCACGCAGAACCACGAUUGCGAAGGCAGCCUGCCAAGCCAUGACUGACGCUGAUGCACGAAAGCGUGGGGAUCAAACAGGAUUAGAUACCCCAGUAGUC
rnacentral:rRNA from 1 species